AAGAACGAGUGGGGUGAAUUCAACUAUCAAAAUUGUAAACAUGAACAAGAGUCCAGGAAUCUUAUAUUUCAUCCGGAUACAUGAAAGUAGAUUUCAAGAGUUGGUCAUUCACUUGCACUGCUUCUACUCAGAAAGCAAAAGAACGGCUUCUAAAAAGAAAACACAAGCCUAACACUUCGACAGAGGGGUGAGAGGGAAAAAGCAAGCCACAUGAGUCUGACGAACGG
rnacentral:lncRNA from 1 species